GAAGUAUGGAGGUCUGUAAGAAGACUAGUAAUGAUUUUCUUAAUCUUGUUUUGGUUACUUUUCGUUUAUAGGGUAUUAUGGAUGAAUCAAUGAUUCUCACAAUGCUGGGCAGAUGUCUGUAGAUAGUAGAGUAGGUUGUGACGGCUAACUAGCAGUGAUUCUUUAGCAAUUACAUGGAAAUACAGACGUAAGAUGUGGUGUUUACAUGUCUUAAAUUGGGAUUGCUUUGGGUCAGAUGGAUUCAACAACAAUGCAGACCAUGAUGAUGACGGGACUGUUCUGCAUUGUUAGAUUAACAAUCAGACGGUCUUGAUGAGUUGACUUAAGAAUGCCCAUGGAAGGUAGAUUUGAAACUUCAAUUCCAAGCAACCUUCAAAGGACAUUAGCAACUACAUGGUGCAACGACAGAUGUGUCCGGAUAUCUUUGAAUGAUGCAGGAACAGAUGUACCAUGGUGCAACAACAUGGAUUGUCUCAAGCGACUUGGUGGUCGUAUUACUGGGACGUCUUUGAAUGCUGUAGGGAAUAUAAUGAUUUCAUUUUGCUCUUUUUGUUUGGCUCUUGAUAAUUAUGCAAUCUCGUAUUUGUCCUUUGGAUCUGAACUGGUUCUAUAUUUGUGUGAUUAAAUUUUCCGACCAAAUAUGCGAUCGAUCUUUCAUGGGCUCCGACGGAAUAUUUAGCGCCAUGGAUUCUUUCAUUGUUAUGCCAAUGUGUUUCUGUGCUUUUUCAUAUUUUCAAUUCAUCUUAAAAACCAACUUGUGAGUCUAUACAUUCUAAGUAAACAAUUACACGUUGAUCAGGAAGUAACUCCAUAACAACAAGAAAUCAAAGAAACAUCUUCUAUAUAAACUAAAACAGAAAUUACAA
rnacentral:lncRNA from 1 species